rnacentral:lncRNA from 1 species
GUUGUUUUUUUCUGAGAAGAUGGAGAAGGAAAUUCACAUGGAGGGAGAAGCAUUUUGUCCGGGAUCCUUUAGGGAAGUCUGAAGAUGAUGUGGCUGUAGUAAAGGUCCCAUAGAGGGACUGCGAAGAGAUGAAGCUGGAAAGAGUCUUCAGCUCUUGAACUCCAGGAUUCUCACCAGUGGCCAACAGUUUCUCAGACCUUAGGUUUUGAAUUGAGUUACGUCAUCAGCUUUCCUGGUUUUAAGGCUUUCAAACAUGGAUUGGCUUCUCUGAUUCUCCAGUUUGCUGACAACCUAUCCUGGGACUUUCCUGCCAUCAUAAGUGAUUCCAGGACCUGUGAAGAAUUCUACCUUCAGACAACUGCUCAACUGGAUUGAAUCUGGGAGAAGAAGAUGGGGGCAUUAUUUCUUGACAGCCACCUAGAUUCCAACAGCAUCAUGCAACAAAUGGUACUAAGACCUUCAGAACCCUUGAAGAGCUAAUCAGCACUUAUGCAUGAAGGCAAUGUUCUAAACCUUAGUGGUCAGGAAAUGUUUGAGAUUUGAAACAGUUGUUUGAAGUUGAGGCAGAAAGUAAUAAAGAAUACUAAAAUUAUCAAAGAAACACCAAACACAAAUCAAUAGCAUCCAAAUGAGCUUUACCUUUAUAGCUGGUACUCUUUCUGUCCUCUUUUCUGCUUCCUAAGAGAUGUUUUUUGGUGAUUUGGUCCUCCUAAGUGCAUGCACAUUGGACAGGAUAGUAUGAGUAUGAUUAGAGUGUAAGCAUGACUAGAAGCACAAGUUAAUUUAUGAGUGAUUGAAUAAAAGUAAUUUUGUGAAAAAUAAGAACAAGUUCUUUUGGUUUAUAUUUUGGCAUGCUUUCUUUCACCAUUUUAAAGAGAUCUUUCCAAGAUGAAAUACAUUGCAGAAAUACAUAUCUGUCACCUAUUUAGAAAAUGACAUUCAUUUGAAAAUGAGCCACUGUGAAUUAGAUACAAAGAGAGGUCAAAGUUAAUAAACAG